rnacentral:tRNA from 1 species
ACCUUGGUUGAUAGCGCGUCUACUUUGUAAGUGCUAGGUCGCGGGUUCGAUUCCCGCCCGAGGUG